rnacentral:lncRNA from 1 species
CAAAGCCAAGCUAGAGGAAGAUAAAGGAGGAGCUCAAAGAAGGGGCUCGUUCCAGCUGCGUGGUGCUGUGUGUUUUUAAAGGAGAGAAAACAGAAUUAGAAGAAUGCCUUUUCUCUUUCAGAGACAACCACAAGCAAAAUUACCCAGGCUUUCCCACCUUCAGACGAUUUUUUUUUCCCCCUAACAGGACUUAGAACAUAGGGAAGAAGGUUCAAGCUUUGCUUGACAUCCAGUCACUCUCCCCACUUUCCGCUUGAUGGAGCAGGUCUACACCCGCUGUGGCUUCUCAACAUCAGGGGAACUGACUCAACACCCGAUGCGUGCACGUGUUUUUCACAAGGGAAGCUGGGAGGUACAAUCUCUGUACAAGAUAAUCUCUGGCAUCGUCACACUUGAGAAGCUGAAGAAGCUGUGAAGUCACCAUCACCCAUUCCAAAAUCCUAAGCCUAAGAGAAGCCAAUGACGAAAUUCUUG